AUUGAACGCUGGCGGCAUGCCUUACACAUGCAAGUCGAACGGCAGCACGGGUGCUUGCCCCUGGUGGCGAGUGGCGAACGGGUGAGUAAUACAUCGGAACAUGUCCUGUAGUGGGGGAUAGCCCGGCGAAAGCCGGAUUAAUACCGCAUACGAUCCACGGAUGAAAGCGGGGGACCUUCGGGCCUCGCGCUUUAGGGUUGGCCGAUGGCUGAUUAGCUAGUUGGUGGGGUAAAGGCCUACCAAGGCGGCGAUCAGUAGCUGGUCUGAGAGGACGACCAGCCACACUGGGACUGAGACACGGCCCAGACUCCUACGGGAGGCAGCAGUGGGGAAUUUUGGACAAUGGGCGAAAGCCUGAUCCAGCAAUGCCGCGUGUGUGAAGAAGGACUUCGGGUUGUAAAGCACUUUUGUCCGGAAAGAAAUCCUUGACUCUAAUACAGUCGGGGGAUGACGGUACCGGAAGAAUAAGCACCGGCUAACUACGUG
rnacentral:rRNA from 1 species